rnacentral:rRNA from 1 species
UACGCAGGCGGAAAAUUAAGUCAGUGGUGAAAUCCUACAGCUUAACUGUAGAACUGUCAUUGAUACUGGUUUUCUUGAAUAUAGUUGAGGUAGGCGGAAUGUGUAAUGUAGCGGUGAAAUGCUUAGAUAUUACACAGAACACCGAUUGCGAAGGCAGCUUACUAAGCUAUGAUUGACGCUGAGGUACGAAAGCGUGGGGAGCGAACAGGAUUAGAUACCCUGGUAGUC